rnacentral:rRNA from 1 species
CCUACGGGUGGCAGCAGUGGGGAAUAUUGGGCAAUGGGCGCAAGCCUGACCCCGCAACGCCGCGUGAAGGAAGAAGACUUUCGGGUUGUACACUUCUUUUGUCAGGGAAGAGUAGAAGACGGUACCUGACGAAUAAGCCACGGCUAACUACGUGCCAGCAGCCGCGGUCAUGCGUAGGUGGCAAGCGUUGUCCGGAUUUACUGGGUUUAAAGGGCGUGUAGCCGGGUUGACAAGUCAGAGGUGAAAACCUGCUGCUUAACCGCAGAACUGCAAUUGAACCUGUUGAUCUUGAGUACUGGAGAGGCAGACGGAAUUCCUAGUGUAGCGGUGAAAUGCAUAGAUAUCACGCAGAACUCCGAUUGCGAAGGCAGCAUACCGGCGCCCAACUGACGCUGAAGCACGAAAGCGUGGGUAUCGAACAGGAGUAGAUACCCCUGUAGUC